AUAGCGUAUAUUAAAGUUGUUGCAGUUAAAAAGCUCGUAGUUGAAUUUUAGGCCUGGUUGGACGGUCUGCUCUAGGGUUUGUACUGUCCUGACCGGGUCUUACCUUCUGGUGAGCUGUCGUAUUGUUUACUCAGUGCGGCAGGGAACCAGGACUUUUACUUUGAAAAAAUUAGAGUGUUUAAAGCAGGCAUUCGCUUGAAUACAUUAGCAUGGAAUAAUAGAAUAGGACUUUGGUUCUAUUUUGUUGGUUUCUAGGACCGAAGUAAUGAUUAAUAGGGAUAGUUGGGGGCAUUAGUAUUUAAUUGUCAGAGGUGAAAUUCUUGGAUUUAUUAAAGACUAACUUCUG
rnacentral:rRNA from 1 species